GAGUUUGAACCUGGCUCAGGAUGAACGCUGGCGGCGUGCCUAACACAUGCAAGUCGAGCGAAGCACAUAUGCGGAGGCCUCCGGGCCAAAGGAUGUGUGACUGAGCGGCGGACGGGUGAGUAACGCGUGGGUAACCUGCCCUAUACAGGGGGAUAACAGCUAGAAAUGGCUGCUAAUACCGCAUGAGCGCACAGCUCCGCAUGGAGCGGUGUGAAAAACUCCGGUGGUAUAGGAUGGACCCGCGUCCGAUUAGCUAGUUGGUGGGGUAAAGGCCCACCAAGGCGACGAUCGGUAGCCGACCUGAGAGGGUGACCGGCCACAUUGGGACUGAGACACGGCCCAAACUCCUACGGGAGGCAGCAGUGGGGGAUAUUGCACAAUGGGGGAAACCCUGAUGCAGCGACGCCGCGUGAGUGAAGAAGUAUUUCGGUAUGUAAAGCUCUAUCAGCAGGGAAGAAAAUGACAGUA
rnacentral:rRNA from 1 species